UGCAAUUGAAAUGAAUGGGAAUGCUAACGGAGAGCUCUCUUGAGGUUGUGUCUAAUACACUACAAGACUAUAUCUACAAAGCCUGACUUUUGGUUCUGCCAGCAAUGAACGAGUCACUAGAAGAAUGAAGUCACUACCAGAAGAGACACAGUCGACAGACACGGUGAAGAAGGAUAUGAGGAGAGCACUUGGAUUUCAAUGGGAGAACAUACACACCAUUCUGCUGAUGACGAUGACGCUGCUCCUUAUGUUUGGUGUUUAAUUGGGAACAGCGAGCGCUGGCUGAGACGGAGAGAUUGCAGUUGCCAUGGAGAUCUGAGACACGUUUUAAGCCACAGCUCCACUCUGCUGCGAGGAAUACUACGGUUGCCGAGCCAUGACCGUAAUUUCGUCCUUCUCGUACCCACUUAACACUCUUCAGGGAAUGAAGAGUAACAGACAAAUCACACACAAGACUGUUUACAGAUUAAAUGUGUCCUCGGAUGAUUUACUCUG
rnacentral:lncRNA from 1 species